AUCCCGAACACAGCAGUUAAGCUCUUCAUCGCCGAUGGUACUCGGACCGCAGGGUCCCGGGAGAGUAGGACGUAGCCAAUU
rnacentral:rRNA from 1 species